AGCGAACGCUGGCGGCAGGCCUAACACAUGCAAGUCGGACGAAGUCUUCGGACUUAGUGGCGGACGGGUGAGUAACACGUGGGAACGUGCCUUUAGGUUCGGAAUAACUCAGGGAAACUUGUGCUAAUACCGAAUGUGCCCUUCGGGGGAAAGAUUUAUCGCCUUUAGAGCGGCCCGCGUCUGAUUAGCUAGUUGGUGAGGUAAAGGCUCACCAAGGCUACGAUCAGUAGCUGGUCUGAGAGGAUGACCAGCCACAUUGGGACUGAGACACGGCCCAAACUCCUACGGGAGGCAGCAGCGGGGAAUCUUGCGCAAUGGGCGAAAGCCUGACGCAGCCAUGCCGCGUGGAUGAUGAAGGUCUUAGGAUUGUAAAAUCCUUUCACCGGUGAAGAUAAUGACUGUAGCCGGAGAAGAAGCCCCGGCUAACUUCGUGCCAGCCGCCGCAGUAAGAC
rnacentral:rRNA from 1 species